ACCUACGGGAGGCAGCAGUAGGGAAUUUUCGUCAAUGGGCGCAAGCCUGAACGAGCAAUACCGCGUGAACGAGGAAGGUCUUCGGAUCGUAAAGUUCUGUUGAAGGGGAAAAAGAGCGGAGAGAGGAAAUGCUUUCUGAUUGAUAUUACCCUUCGAGGAAGUCACGGCUAACUACGUGCCAGCAGCCGCGGUAAUACAUAGGUGGCGAGCGUUAUCCGGAAUGAUUGGGCGUAAAGGGUGCGUAGGCGGCCUGCUAAGUCUGGAGUGAAAGGUACCGGCUCAACCGGUACAGGCUCUGGAAACUG
rnacentral:rRNA from 1 species